rnacentral:lncRNA from 1 species
AAAGGCAUUACACAGUGAAGGCCCACUGCAGCCUUUUGCACAGCACCAUACGGCAGCGCACCACCGAGGGAAAACUGUGAUCAAAAGGCACUACACAGCGAAACCCCGUUGCAGUCUCUUGCACAAACCCUAGGCAGCAGAAAGCACAGAUAUGCCCACAUCUUGCUCACUCCAAAUACCACGUCUCUGAAAGCUUCAUGAGGGUUCCAACAUCAUGCUCUGCCUUCUCCAAAAUUAAAGAUUCCUAGCAUCACAUCAAAAAUUAAAAAAAAAUUAAAAAAAAAAAGGGGCUUUAUUAAAGUCUAAUUGAUGAAGGUCAAUUUUAUUACAAAUUUAUUUGCAAUUUUCUUUGUACAAAAUUAAAUUACAGUUUCUUUGAAAAAAAAAAAAAGAAUACAUAUAUUAUUAUGUAUUUUAAAAAAUAAUAAUUAAAAAAAAGUAUAUAUAUGUAUGUAUAUGUAUAUGUACAGGCCCAGGCCCGGCUCUUAAAACCCAAUCCACUCAACUUGCUUGCAAGGCCACAGUUGCCAAAAGCCCUAUUCCAGGCACAAAUAAUGCUUGGAAUGGUGAGCCCACAAAUGUUGCAGAUACCAAAUAUCAGGCAAGCUUCAGGUCAUACCUCACAGCCUCCAUUCAACGAGGCCUUGCAGUCUGGGUUGGUGCCCAAUGUGCAAGAAGGCCAAUUUUUUGCUAUGCAUCAAAAUCCAUUGGUUAGAAGCAAGUUUCUCCACCCCAACCGCAAUAAAUGCAGCAUUCAAACUGAAACC